rfam:Schistosoma curassoni strain Dakar, Senegal genome assembly, scaffold: SCTD_contig0003175
AUCCAGCUGACGAGUCCUAAAUAGGACGAAACGCGUGUCCUGGAU